rnacentral:lncRNA from 1 species
GCUAUUUCUAGUGUACUUGGACCACUUCCAAAAGUCUGAGAAAGGCACCCAGGAAAGAUUACCAAAAUGAAUCGUGCAGCACUGGGGAGUAAUGGUGACCUUCUGAAAGUUUGUUCUAUGUGUACGCCCUUGGAGUUCUGAUCCCCUGAAAGGUUCUGGCUGGGUUUGCCUCAGGCCCUAUUUGUCACUCCAAACUGAGGUCAACAUUCAUGACUUUUUUUCCCCCAUAAAUAAUAUACCUUGCCUCCAUAUUCAUUGGAUGUUGAACUCUGGGCUAAGUUCAAGAAUAAAAACAUACCAAAG